rnacentral:rRNA from 1 species
AACGUAGGAGCCAAGCGUUAUCCGAAUUCACUGGGCGUAAAGCGCGUGCAGGCGGCUGGGUAAGUUGGAUGUGAAAUCUCCUGGCUCAACUGGGAGAGGCCGUUCAAUACUACCUGGCUUGAGGGCGACAGAGGGAGGUGGAAUUCCGGGUGUAGUGGUGAAGUGCGUAGAUAUCCGGAGGAACACCAGAGGCGAAGGCGACCUCCUGGGUCGUACCUGACGCUGAGAUGCGAAAGCUAGGGGAGCAAACGGG